GUCACAUUGUCUCAUCACAAAAUUGGAUUGCACAGAACUCAAAUGGAGAGGACGUUCAAACUCAGGAAUGUGGAGCACUCAUCAUCUGCUGUGGUCAAAGAGACAAUCUGUGAAGAAAGUGAACAAGGCAGAUGGAGAUAAAUUCAAAAACAGAGAUCCGAAAGGCUGCUAAGAGAGAAAGGAACAGGAAUCUCCCAGUUCCUGAGAGCCUCCCAGGCUUUCUCCCUCGAUGUUUAAAAUUUGGAAA
rnacentral:lncRNA from 1 species